ACCGUAAAAGUGAAGAAAUUUUACCUUUAUNUUUAAAAAUUUUUUUUGANNNNGGAAAGAUAAAUUUUUUUANAAAAGUAAAAUUUUAAAAAGANUAUUUUUUUCANGAANUUGAAAUUUUNAAAAAUUCAAUAAUGAAACUAGGAUUAGAUACCCUAUUAUUUUUGAGCGGAGAGAAAUNUAGGUAGUAGUAGAAGGCUUGAAACUUAAAGAAUUUGGCGGUGUUUUAAUCUAACCAGAGGAACUUGCGUUUUAAUUCGAAAUUACACGUUUUAUCUUACUUAAAAUUAUGUUUGUAUAUCGUCGUAAAAAUAAAACUUUAAAGUGUAUAUUUAGCUUUAUUUAANUAAUAAAUUACAGAUCAAGGUUCAGCUNAUGUUUGAGNAAAACGUGAGUUACAAUAUUNNUUAAAGUAUAUGAAUAAAUUUCUNNGAAGAGNAAAUUUUGAAGGUGGAUUUGGAAGU
rnacentral:rRNA from 1 species